UACAGAGGGGGCAAGCGUUGUUCGGAAUUACUGGGCGUAAAGGGCGCGUAGGCGGCCUGUUAAGUCGAACGUGAAAUCCCCGGGCUCAACCCGGGAACUGCGUCCGAUACUGGUAGGCUUGAAUCCGGGAGAGGGAUGCGGAAUUCCAGGUGUAGCGGUGAAAUGCGUAGAUAUCUGGAGGAACACCGGUGGCGAAGGCGGCAUCCUGGACCGGCAUUGACGCUGAGGCGCGAAAGCUAGGGGAGCAAACGGG
rnacentral:rRNA from 1 species